rnacentral:lncRNA from 1 species
AAGUUCAAUGGGGCAAAGUGGCCUUGGGCCUAAAACAUGAAGCCAUGAGAGAGGGUAGAAAUCAUAAAGCUCAUUUCAUACUUCAUUAUACAUUCAUGCUCACAUGUCUAUUAUAUAGUCCUCACCUGAGACCAAUACCUCACUGUGCCGGAAAUUGCCUUUGGUGGUGGCGGAGGUCCAAAUGCCUCCAUACAUAUAUCUAUUUGUUUAUCUUGACACCCUCUCUCACAAUCUAACAACGAUUUCCUCUAAUUCCUACACAAGGUUCUGAAUCGAGCCAACAAAUCUAUAAACCUAAGAGACAAAAUCCAAAAUUAAAUGAUGCUGAGGAGUUGAACGGAGCUCAACACCUAGGGGUUUGACUCCCUUAUGAAGAGGCUACAUGGAAGCAACGAGUUUAAGAAAGAAAAUAAAUUGCAAAGGAUUAAUUAACCUACAAGAGUGACUUGGUGAUGUUGCAAGCGAAGGUGACGCAAAUGAUUCAAGAAAAUAUAGAAGAUCUUCAAUCCAGUAAGCACUUCGACUCUCAAAAUCUUUUAGGUUUCUGAUUUCUUCUUUAUCUUCUUCUACCCUUAGUUUGUAGGAGCUUUUGCAAAGGCUUUGUGUUGUCCUUGUUGUUCUGAACACGUAAGAGUGAGUGUGGAUAUGUUAAAGAGGAGAGAGAACUCAUAGAGAAUUGAGAAUUCAGAGAGAAUGAUUUUCAGUGGUUUUUUGUGAAAGGAAUCAUUUUUUUUUCAAUUGAAGAGUGAUUUGGGAAUAUAUACAGGAUAAUCCCUAACUUAUUCGGGCAGGCUUCGGAAAUGGUAGUUGAAGGUUUGGGCAUCGUUUAUGUUAAUGAUUCACAUGAAUGAAGUUGUUAGGACUAUUAAAUAUGUUAAUUCUAUAUUAGGUUUCUGCUACAAUUAGUUGGAGCUUAAAUUGGAGUCAGUUCAGUUGGUGAAGUAGAACUCAAUGGAUGAAAAGGGUCUGUUAGGAGUUAGUGUUUGAGAUGUUAGAAAAAAUUUAUGAUAUGUUGAUGUGAGUGGGUUACUUAGGCGCUAGCACUGUCAGUAUGGUAAUUAGAUUGUUGGAAGGUUAGUUUGAUAGAUUGAAUGGUUAGAAGAAAGUUAGGAUGUGUUGAUUUGGUGAAUGGAAAUGUAAAUUGCAGGUUAUAUGCCUUUUGAGUUGAAUGUUAUGGAGUAAGAUUGAAUGGUUAGAAGAAAGUUAGGAUGUGUUGAUUUGGUGAAUGGAAAUGUAAAUUGCAGGUUAUAUGCCUUUUGAGUUGAAUGUUAUGGAGUUGCAAUGCAAACUAGAUUGCUUGAAUCAUAGUAGCAGAGCACCUACAUAACCGGUUAGCCCCUUUGGUUAACCGGUUACCAACACGACACCUAGCCCCUUUUCCACCUUUGAAUGCAGCAACCUUUGUAUGUGUAUGUGUUUGUGCAGUUUGAACAUGAUGCAGACUGUUAGUAUUAUUAGCUUGGAAAGUUUGAAUGAUGAUAUUAGUAAUGAUGUGAAAACUUGUAGUUAAGGUGAACUUGAAGUGUUGACAGUUAGUGUUAGGGAAUUGAAUGAGUUAGCUAUUGAUUUUUGCAGUUGGUCUCUAUGGAUGCAUUGUCAUGGUCAUUUAGUGAACUUGUUAAAUCCUUGGAAUGUGGUAGUAAAGAUUCUGUUAGUGAGAUGAAACGAAAAAGGAUUAAUGAAAUAGACAAUUGAAAACUGAGCUAGUAUGAACCUAGUUAAGUGGAUUAGAUCAAGGUUAAUGAGUUUUCCCUGUUAGAAAAUUAGGAUUAAUGAGUAACAUCUUAUGUUAGUAGGUAAAUUGGAUUGGUGUGGAACUGACUAUUUAAAAUUGAACUAUUGAUGUUAAUGUUAGGUUGGGGAAAACAGUUAGGAAAUUGAUGCAAGAUGAAUGGUGUAAUGUUUUCUAUUGCACAUGAAUUAGCUGUCAUUUUGAUGUUUGAAUCAAUGUAGACUUGUCAUGAUAUGCCUGGGUUUGUUGAGUUUGAAUCAUGACUUACUUGAUUGUGCAGGUGUAUGUCUAUUGCCAAAAUAUUGAGCUUAUAAUGUCAUGGUCUUGUGUUCCCUUUGCAAGUUUUCUAUAAGUUUGGGCAUGUCACUUUCAAAAUGUACAAAGCAUGGAAACUAAGAUAUGGAUCAUGGUUGGAGACUUGGAAGCUUGAAAGUUCAAUCAUGGAAGAUCCAAAUGGAAUUUUAGAAUAGGAUCAGAUCAAUUGACUUUGGUCAACUGUUUGACCAAAAUGUCAAUAGUUGACCAAAAAUCAAUUGUAGGUCAAAGAUGCAAUCUUGUAUGUAAUCUUGUAGUUAGAUUUUUGUAAUAUGGUUUGAAUGUUUUUGUAAUGAGAAAAUGACUUCUUUUUGAAAUGAACUGCUUGUGUUCUAAGAAAGAGAUUUUCCUCCCAAAGAAUGAAUUUGAAUUAGGAUUUGAAUGAACCUUGAAUUUGAUUUUUUUUGUCUUCAAUCCAAGUUGCAAAUCGUUGAAUU